AUGGAUUGAGAGCUUGCUCUCAAGAAGUUAGCGGCGGACGGGUGAGUAACACGUGGGUAACCUGCCCAUAAGACUGGGAUAACUCCGGGAAACCGGGGCUAAUACCGGAUAACAUUUUGAACUGCAUGGUUCGAAAUUGAAAGGCGGCUUCGGCUGUCACUUAUGGAUGGACCCGCGUCGCAUUAGCUAGUUGGUGAGGUAACGGCUCACCAAGGCAACGAUGCGUAGCCGACCUGAGAGGGUGAUCGGCCACACUGGGACUGAGACACGGCCCAGACUCCUACGGGAGGCAGCAGUAGGGAAUCUUCCGCAAUGGACGAAAGUCUGACGGAGCAACGCCGCGUGAGUGAUGAAGGCUUUCGGGUCGUAAAACUCUGUUGUUAGGGAAGAACAAGUGCUAGUUGAAUAAGCUGGCACCUUGACGGUACCUAACCAGAAAGCCACGGCUAACUACGUGCCAGCAGCCGCGGUAAUACGUAGGUGGCAAGCGUUAUCCGGAAUUAUUGGGCGUAAAGCGCGCGCAGGUGGUUUCUUAAGUCUGAUGUGAAAGCCCACGGCUCAACCGUGGAGGGUCAUUGGAAACUGGGAGACUUGAGUGCAGAAGAGGAAAGUGGAAUUCCAUGUGUAGCGGUGAAAUGCGUAGAGAUAUGGAGGAACACCAGUGGCGAAGGCGACUUUCUGGUCUGUAACUGACACUGAGGCGCGAAAGCGUGG
rnacentral:rRNA from 1 species